AGGGUUUGAUCAUGGCUCAGAACGUACGCUGGCGGCACGCCUAACACAUGCAAGUCGAACGAAGUAGCAAUACUUAGUGGCAGACGGGUGAGUAACAUGUAGGUAUCUGCCCUUUGGCCUGGAAUAACACGAGGAAACUUGUGCUAAUACCGGAUAAGUCUUUACGGAGAAAGCUUUAUGCACCAUUGGAUGAGCCUGCACUUGAUUAGUUUGUUGGUGGGGUAAUGGCCUACCAAGACUGUGAUCAAUAGCUGAUUUGAGAGGAUGAUCAGCCACAUUGGGACUGAGACACGGCCCAAACUCCUACGGGAGGCAGCAGUGGGGAAUCUUGCACAAUGGAGGAAACUCUGAUGCAGCGAUGCCGCGUGAGUGAAGAAGGCCCUUGGGUUGUAAAGCUCUUUCGUCGGGGAAGAAAAUGACUGUACCCGAAUAAGAAGGUCCGGCUAACUUCGUGCCAGCAGCCGCGGUAAUAC
rnacentral:rRNA from 1 species